rnacentral:rRNA from 1 species
GACGAACGCUGGCGGCGUGCUUAACACAUGCACGUCGAACGGAAAGGCCCUGCUUUUGUGGGGUGCUCGAGUGGCGAACGGGUGAGUAACACGUGAGUAACCUGCCCUUGACUUUGGGAUAACUUCAGGAAACUGGGGCUAAUACCGGAUAGGAUCUGCUGCUGCAUGGUGGGGGUUGGAAAGUUUCGGCGGGUGCGGAUGGACUCGCGGCUUAUCAGCUUGUUGGUGGGGUAGUGGCUGACCAAGGCUUUGACGGGUCGCCGGCCUGAGAGGGUGACCGGCCACAUUGGGACUGAGAUACGGCGCAGACUCGUACGGGAGGCAGCAGUGGGGAAUAUUGCACAAUGGGCGGAAGCCUGAUGCAGAAACGCCGCGUGCGGGAUGACGGCCUUCGGGUUGUAAAACGCUUUCGCCUGUGACGAAGCGUGAGUGACGGUAAUGGGUAAAGAAGCACCGGCUAACUACGUG